rnacentral:lncRNA from 10 species
GGCGGUCGCCUGUAGUCCCAGCUACUCGGCAGGCUGAGGCAGGAGAAUGGCGGGAACCUGGGAGGUGGAGGUUGCAGUGAGCCGAGAUUGCGCCACUGCACUCCAGCCUGGGCGACAGAGCGAGACUCCAUCUCAAAAAAAUAUAUAUAUAUAUAUAUAUAUUCAUGACAUUUGUUAAAGACAGUAAGCCAGACUAUUCAAGGGAGACUACUACAAUGGAAUUUUGCCAGGGGGGAGAGAUUGGCCUCAACUCUGAAUACAACAAUGAAAAGUAGAGAUUUAUAGCCAAGGGGCAGGGUAGGGUCAGUGGAUGGAAAAUUACUAACAGUAAACAUUUUAUAAGGGUAAACAAGGGGUAAGGCAGAUUCUGGCUAAACCUACUUGACAAGCUUCUUGCUGAAGGAAGGCCAGGGUGAAAAAAUAUCCAGAGAUGGGGAUGAGGAAUUUCAUCAGAUAUCAAGGGUGGGGGAUAUUUGCUAAACUGACCCAACAGGAUUCUUACUAAAACUGGACUAAAUAGGCCAAGGACAAAGCCUUCAGGGUGAGGCCUCAUCAAAAAGAUGACUCAGAGGAGCCUGAUUAAAGUUUGGUUAAGGAGAGAAUCUUGGUUAUCCCCAACAUUGUUGCCUCCUAGCUGUGUAAACUUGAGUGGGUUAACUAACCUCUCUGAGCUUCAGAUUUCUCAUCUUGAAAGUAGAUAUUAUACUAUCUCCCCUACACAUUGUAAGGACUAAAUGAAAUAAUGCUCAAUAACUACAGGUUGAAUGUCUCUAAUCAAAAAACCUAAAAUCCAAAAUACUCCAAACUCCGAAACCUUUUGAACACUGACAUGAUACUCAAAGGAAAUGCUCGUUGAAGUAUUUCAGAUUUCGAAUUCUUUGGAUUUGGGAUGCAGAAUCAGAACGUAUAUGUAAUGUAAAUAUUCCAAAAUCUGAAACAUUUCUGGUCCCAAACAUUUCAGAUAUGGGAUACUCAACCUGUACUUAGCACAUGGUCUGAUCUAGUAAGCAUUACCAAUAUCACUGUUAAUGUGAAAGCUCUUGCCAGGGAAUCAAGUCAUUCCUGAUGAAACCGAGCACUUGAAACUCUUAAAUGCCACUGGUAAGAGUACAAGUUGACACAGCAUUACUUCCGUGCAGUUUUGUGGUAUCUAUCAAAACAUAAAACGUGGCACUGAGUCUCUGGAUUCAACAAUUUCUUUCUGGAAAUGUAUCUGAGGAAAUAAUAGCACAAGGGCACAAAGACAUGUGUCUGAGGAUUUCCAGUGCAUCAUUAUUUAAUAUAAAAAACUUGGAAGAUAACCUAAAUGUCCAGCAGUAGGAGAUUGGUUAAAUACAUGAUGGUAUUCAUAAAAUAUAUUCAAUGAUAAGUCAGUACAACAAAAAUAUAUUAAGUGCAAAAAGAAGGUUACAAAAUAUUAGGUUAGUGCAAAAGUAAAAGCAACUGUGGUUCUUGCCAUUAAAAGUAAUUACCACAAUUACUUUUGCAUCAGCCUAAUAAUACAAGUAAUAUGUUCCCAUUUUGUAAAAACAGAAUAAACAAUAAAUGUAAUUAAUACAAAAUGUCUGUGUUUUAUGUAUAGGCAUAUGAACAUAAAGAUAAACACCAAAAUGUUACCAGCACAGAUAGUCCCUCACUUACAAUGAUUUCAUACAGGAUUGUUUUUACUUUACGAUGCUGCGAAAGUGAUAUACAUUCAGUAGAAAUCAUACUUCAAGUACCCAUAUAACUAUUCUGUUUUUCACUUUCAGUCAGUAUUCAAUACAUGACAUGGAAUAUUCACCACUUUAUUAUACAAUAGGCUUUGUGUUUGAUGAUUUUGCCUGACUAUAGGCUAAGGCAAGUGUUCUGAGCACCCUUAGGGUAGGCCAGGCUAAGCUAUGAUGUUUGGCAGGUUAGGCGUGUGUUUCAGCUCAUUUUGUGUUGCUGCAACAAAAUAACUGAGGCUGGGUAAUUUUAUUUAAAAAGAGGUUUAUGGCCGGGUGCCAUGGCUCAUGCCUGUUAAUCUCAGCACUUUGGGAGGCCAAGGCGGGCUGGAUCACGUGAGGCCAGGAGUUCAAGACAAGCCUGGCCAACAUGGUGAAACCCAAUCUCUACUAAAAAUUUAAAAAUUAGCUGGGCAUGGUGGCAGGCACCUAUAAUCCCAGCUACUCGAGAGGCUGAGGUAUGAGAAUCGCUUGAACCUGAGAGGCAGAGGUUGCAGUGAGCUGAGAUUGCACCAUUGCACCCCAGCCUGGGCACAAAAGUGAAACUCCGUCUCAACACAAAUGAAAAAUAAAUAAAAUAAAAAAAUAAAAAGAGUUCACAAUUUUAGUUCACAAUUUAGUUCAUAAUUUUGGUGGCUGGAAGGUUCAACACUAGGCAGCUGCAUCUGGUGAGGGCCUCAGGCUGCUUCAACUUAUGGUGGGAAGAAGAAGUGGAGCAGGGAUGUGCAAAGAGAUCACAGAACAAGCGAGGAAGUGAAAGACAAAAAUCAAGGAAGCCAGACUCUUAACAACCUGCUUUUGCUCUAUGGGAACUAAUCCAUUCCCCCAGAGGGAGAACUCACUCACCCCCAUAGGAGGGCAUUCAUCUAUUCAUGAGGGAUCUGUCCCCGACCCUGCCCCAUGACCAAACACCAGGAUCCACCUGUAUUUUUACUCAUACUUACAAUAUUUCUUUUUUUUUUUUUUUUUUUUUUUUUUUUUUGAGACGGAGUUUUGCUCUUGUUGCCUAGGCUGGAGUGCAAUGGCGUGUUGGCUCACUGCAACUUCUGCUUCCCAGGUUCAUACGAUUCUCAUGUCUCAGCCUCCUGAGUAGCUGGGAUUGCAGGCGUGCACCACCACGCCCAGAUAAUUUUUUGUCUUUUUAGUAGAGACAGAGUUUCACCAUGUUGGUCAGGCUGGUCUUGAACUCCUGACUUCAGAUGAUUCACCCACCUCAGCCUCCAAAGUGAUGGGAUUACAGGCUUAAGCCACCGCACCCGGCCUUUACUUACAAUAUUUCUGUCUUUUUUUUUUUUUUUUUUUUUGUGAGACAGAGCCUCAAUCUGUUGCCCAGGCUGGAGUACAGUGGUAGGAGCUCAGCUCACUGCAACCUCUGCCUCCUGGUUCAAGUGAUUCUCGUGCCUCAGCCUCCCGAGUACCUGGGACUACAGGCGUGUACCACCAUGUCUGGCUAAUUUUUGUAUUUUUAGUAGAGAUGGGGUUUCACCAUGUUGGUCAGGCUGGUCUUGAACUCCUGGACUCAAGUGAUCCACCCACCUUAGCCUCCCAAAGCGCUGGAAUUACAUCCGUGAGCCACUGUGCCCGGAAUUUACUUACAGUAUUUCUAAUUUUUGGUGGGUUUAUCAGGACAUAACUCCAUUCUAAGUCAAAAAGCAUCUGUAUAGCUGUAACUGCCCCAGGUAUGAUAGGCAUCUGUGCUUCUAAGUAUUUCUGGCUAUGCCUUUGAGGCAUAGAGUAGAAGUUACACUUCCUAGCCCCUUUGUAGUUGGGCUGGACCAUAUGAGAGUGCUGGUAACAUAUGUCACUUCUGCGUCAAAAUUUAAUUGUUGGUGUGUGACUUUUCAUAGCUCUCUUCUUUUCCCUUUGCCACAGCAACCAGUGGUGUUCCAAAUGCUAGGUAGUAGCUCUGACUACCUGAGUCCCAGAGUAGGAAAGAUGAUGACAUUGGAGCAGAGGUCCCAGCCAGCCUUCUGACAUGAUUAUCAUAGCUUGAGGAACAAAAUAUCAAUGGGAUUAAGCCACUGAUAUUGGGAAUUGUCUGUUAUUUCAGCAAAACCUAAUCUGUACUUCUGAUGAUAGGGAUUAUGGCUGAUUUUUAUUUUCUUCUUUUACUUUAGUUAUUGCAAUUUCUGAUUCUUUCCCUCUGGCGAAGCACAAAGUAGGGCAGGACUUAUGGGUCAUUCUGAAAGUCUUGUUAAGGGGAUGUCUAGACUAGAAGAACUAGUUUGACUUCUCAUCCAGACUGGCCAUGGGCCUGUCCCCUGACACAGUGGGUGGUUUGUUGGGGAGACAUGAGGAGAAAAGUAGUGUGAGGAGCCAGAAGGCAGAGCAAAUUGCACAUUGGCAGCCCUGGCUCAUCAGAGGCCAGGCCUAGGAUGUGAGGCUAGCGGCCUAAAUGCCAGGUGUCAGGAACGCGAAGUGUUAGGUUAGUGCAAAAGUAAUCGCGGUUUUUUCCAUUACUUUCAAUAGCAAAAACCGCAAUUACUUUUGUACCAACCUAAUAAAUAUAUGAAAAUUGGGGUCGGGGCAUGUUUAUCAGAAAUGCUUAGUGUUACUGACAGCCUAGUCUGAAGUUUAGAGCCUCUCAUCACAGAAUACCAAGGCUCUCUCUCUCUCUCUUUUUUUUUUUGAGGUAGAGUCUCACUCUGUCACCCACGCUGGAGUGCAGUGGCACAAUCUCAGCUCACUGCAACCUCUGCCUCCUGGGUUCAAGUGAAUCUCCUGCCUCAGCCUCCUGAGUAGCUGAGAUUACAGGUGCCUGCCACCAUGCUCGGCUAAUUUUUGUAUUUUUAGUAGAGACAGGGUUUCACCAUUGUUGGCCAGGCUGGUCUCGAACUCCUGACCUCAAGUGAUCUGCCUGCCUUACCCUCCCAAAGUGCUGGGAUUACAAGUGUGAGCCACCGUGCCCGGCCUCAGAAUACUAAGGCUCUCUUAUUUCUUCUCUCUACUUUCUGUCAGAUCCAUAGCCUGCUACUAGAACAUUCCUUUUAAACAAUAGAUUGAUGGUAUUACUCCUCUGCUCAAAAAUCUCCCUCUUGAAAAAAGGUAAUGUCAAUGGUCCUCUUAUUGAUUGAUUUUUAAACAACCUUAUAAAGAGUCUCUAAAUAGCUCAGAUUUUAAAAAAACAUUAUUUUUAGUUGGCAUGUAAUAAUUGUAGACAUUAUGGGAUAGAAUGAUAUCUCAAUACAUGUAUACAAUGUGUAACGAUUAAAUCAGGGUACUUAGCAUAUGUGUCACCUUUUAUCAUUUGUUUGUGUUGGCAACAUUCAAAAUUCUCUCUUCCAGGCCAGGCGAGAGGCAGGCGCGGUGUCUCACACCUGUCUGGGUGGCGGUGUCUCACGCUUGUAAUCCCAGCACUUUGGGAGGCUGAGGCAGGUGGAUCACUUGAGGUCAAGAGUUUGAGCAAGCCUGGCCAACAUGGUGAAACCCUGUCUCUACUAAAAAUACAAACAAAAAAACACACACAAAUAAUUAGCCAGGUGUGGUGGUGCAUGCCUGUAAUCCCAGGCUACUCAGAAGGCUGAGGCAGGAGAAUCACUUGAACCCGGGAGGUGGAGGCUGCCAUGAGGCAAGAUUGUGCCACUGCACUCCAAGCUGGGUGACAGAGUGAGUGAGACUCUGUCUCAAAAAGCAAAAAAAAAAAAAAAAGAAAUUCUCUCUUCUAGCUAUUGAAAAAUAUACAAUAGAUUAUUCUUAUCUAUAGUCACCCUACAGUGCUAUAUAAUACUAGAAUUCAUUCCUCCUAUCUAGCUAUAAUUUUGUAUCCAUUAACAAACGCUUCCCUAUCCUCUCCUCCCCACUAUCUUUCCCAGCCUCUAAUAACCACAGUUCUACUCUCUACUUCAAUGUGCUCAAGUUUUGUCGCUCCCACAUAUGAGAGAGAACAUGUGGUAUUUAUUUCUUUGGGCCUGACUUUGAUGCAUAUGACAGGAUCCCAUCAUUUUUAAUGGCUGAAUAAUCCAUUGUCUCUCUCUCUCUCUCUCUCUCUGUGUGUGUGUGUGUGUGUGUGUGUGUGUGUGUGUAUAAAUUUCUUUAUCCAUUCCAUGUCUAUAUCCAGUAUUGACAUACACUUCGGUAGAUUCCAUAUCUUGGCUAUUGUGAAUAGUGCUGCAAUAAAAAUAGGGGUGCAUGGCCAGGCACAGUGGCUCACGCCUGUAAUCCCAGCACUUUGGGAGGCCGAGGCGUGUGGAUCACCUGAGCUCAGGAGUUCGAGACCAGCAUGGCUAACAUGGUGAAACCCUGUUUCUACUAAAAAUACAAAAAAAUUUAGCUGGGCACGGUGGCACGUGCCUGUAAUCCCAGCUACUCAGGAGGCUGAGGCAGGAGAAUCAAUUGAACCUGGGAGGCAGAGGUUUCAGGGAGCUGAGAUCGCACCACUGCACUCUUGGGAAACAAGAGCGAAACUCCAUCUCUCAAAAAACAAACAAAUAAAUAAAUAAAUAAAUAAAUAGUGGGGCAGAUAUCUCUUCAAUAUACUGAUUUCCCUUCCUUAAGAUAAAUAUCCAACAGUGGGAUCGUUGAAUCAUAUGGUAGUUCUAUUUUAGGUCUUUGAGGACUGUCCAUACUCUUUUCCAUAAUGGCUAUGCUAAUUUACAUUCCCACCAACAAAGUAUAAUAGUUCCCUUUUCUCUGCAUCCUCACCAGCAUUUGUUAUUUUUUGUCUUUUCGAUAAUAGCUGUUCUAACUGGGGUGACAGGAUAUCUCAUUGUGGUUUUAAUUUGCUUUUCCCUGAUAAUUAGUGAUGGUGAGCAUUUUUUCAUGUACAUGUUGGCCAUUUGUGUGUCUUCUAUUGAGAAAAAUCUAUUCAGAUCCUUUGCCAGUCUGAUUAUUUGUGGGGCUUUUGUUUUUGUUUGUUUGCUUGUUUUUGCUAUUGUUUGCAUUUCUUAUAUACUCAGGAUAUUGUCAGAUGAACAGUUUGCAAAUAUUUUCUCCAAUUCUGCAGGGUUUUGCUGCACUCUGUUGACUUUUUUUUUUUUUUUUUUUUUGCUGUGCAGAAACAUUUUAGUUUGAAAUAGCCCAAUUUGUCUAUUUUUGCUUUGAUUACAUGUGCUUUUGAAGUCUUACCCAUAAAAUGAUGGCCCAGACCACUGCUUUGUAGCAUUUUCCCAAUGUUUUCUUAAAGUAGUUUUAUAGUUUCAGGUCCUACACUUAGUAUUUAAUCCAUUUUAGUAGUUUUUUAAAAUAUAUAUAUGGUGAGAGAUAUAGGUCUAGUUGCAUUGUUCUGCAUGUGGAUAUCCAGUUUUCCCAAUACCAUUUAUUGAUGAGGUGGUUCUUUCCUAAUGUAUGUUUUUGGUACUUUUUGUUGAAAAUCAGUUGACUAUAAAUAUGUGAAUUUGUUUCUGGGUUCCUAUAUUCUCCCGUUGGUUUUUGUGUCUGUUUUAAUAUCAAUACCAUGCUGUUUGGGUUACAAUAGCUUGUAGUAUAUUUUGAAGUAGGGUAGUGUGAUGUCUCUAGCUUUUUCUUUUAUUUCUCUCUCUCUUUUUUUUUUUUUUUUUUUGGCUAUUUGAGGUCUUUGGUGGUUCCAUAUAAAUUUUAGGAUUUUUUUUUCUAUUUUUUUGAAGAAUGUCAUUGGUAUUUUGAUACAGAUUGCAUUAAAUGUGUAGAUUGCUUUGAGUAGUAUGGCCAUUAUAGCAAUAUUAACUCUUUCAAUUCAUGAAUAUGGGAUGUCUUUUCAUUUUUUCUGUUCUCUUCAGUUUCUUUCAUUGUGUUUUGCAGUUUUCAUUGUAGAGAUGUUUCACCUUCUUUGUUAAAUUUAUUCCUAGGUAUUUUAUUUUGUUUUUGUAGCUAUCAUAAAUGGGAUUGCUUUCUUGAUUUCUUUUUCAGCUAAUUCAUUAUUGGUAUAUAACAAUUCUACUGAUUUUUCUAUGUUGAUUUUGUAUCCUGCAACUUUACUGAAUUUGCUUAUCUAUUCUCAGAUAUUUUGGUGGAGUUUUUAAGAUUUUCUCUAUAUAAGGUUAUGUUGUCUGCAAAUGUAGAUGCCCUCCAUUUCUCUCUUGCCUAAUUGCUCUAGCUAGGCUUCCAAUACUGUGUGUAAUAUGAGUGGUGAAAGUGGGCAUCCUUGUGUUGUUCCAGUUCUUGGAGGAAAAGCUUUCAGCUUUUCUCUGUUUGGUGUGAUGUUAGCUGAGGGUUUGUCAUACAUGACCUUUAUUGUAUUAUGUUCCUUGUAUAGUUAAUUUGCUGAGAGUUCUUAUCAUGAAGGGAUGUUGAAUUUUAUCAAAUGCUUUUGCUGUGACUAUUGAGAUGAUUGUAUGGUUUUUGUUCUUCAUUUUGUUGAUGUGAUGUAUCACAUGUACUGAUUUGAUUUGUAUAUGUUGAACCAUCUUUGCAUCCCUGAAAUAAAUCCCCCAUGAUCUUUUUGAUGUUCUGUUGGAUUUGGUUUGCUAGUAUUUUGUUGAGGGAUAUCGGCCUAUAGUUGUUGUUGUUAUUGUUGUGUUCUUGUCUGGUUUGUCUGUGUUUUCAUUUUGUUUUGUUUUUAGAGAUGGGGGUCUUACUUUCUCUUCCGGGCUGGAAUGCAGUGGUGCAAUCACAGCUCACAGUAUCCUCAAACUCCUGGGCUCAAAAGAUCCUCCAACCUCCACCUCUCUAGUAGCUGGGACUACAAGCAUGCACCACAGUGCCAUGCACAACUGAUUGUUUUUUUUUUUUGAGACACAGUCUCACUCUGUCACCAGGCUGGAGUUCAGUGGUGUGAUCUCGGCUCACUGCAAUCUCUGCCUCCUGG